ensembl:snRNA U6 U6 spliceosomal RNA
GUACUCACUUUGGCAAAAACAUAUACUAAAAUUGGAAUGAUACAGAGAAGAUUAACAUGGCCAGCACACAAGAAUGAUGGCAUAUAAAUUCAUGAAGUGUUUCAUAUUUUU